AGUCACUGGUUAAAUUAAAUUUAAAACAAUUCAAUUAUCAUUGUCGCCGCGUUUAUCGCGUUUAUUGCAUUUUGGAUAUUACAAACUAUUUUUAUACGCUUGAUAGUCGCCGUGACGAGUUUAUCGCAAUGACAUCAUUAACUAUUUUUUUUUUCGACGGUGACCGAUGACGGAUAACAGAGAGUAACGGUAAAUCGAGUUUCUACUGUGUUUUAAAAUCAAUAUUUGUAAAUGUGACUAUACCUUUUAAGUGGCGUGGGCAGGAAUGGCUUCCUCGGAGAAAUAUUCUAUAAUAUUUUUUUUUUAAUCUAAAAACAA